GAACUGAAGAGUUUGAUCAUGGCUCAGAUUGAACGCUGGCGGCAGGCCUAACACAUGCAAGUCGAGCGGCAGCACGGGUACUUGUACCUGGUGGCGAGCGGCGGACGGGUGAGUAAUGCCUAGGAAUCUGCCUGGUAGUGGGGGAUAACGCUCGGAAACGGACGCUAAUACCGCAUACGUCCUACGGGAGAAAGCAGGGGACCUUCGGGCCUUGCGCUAUCAGAUGAGCCUAGGUCGGAUUAGCUAGUUGGUGAGGUAAUGGCUCACCAAGGCGACGAUCCGUAACUGGUCUGAGAGGAUGAUCAGUCACACUGGAACUGAGACACGGUCCAGACUCCUACGGGAGGCAGCAGUGGGGAAUAUUGGACAAUGGGCGAAAGCCUGAUCCAGCCAUGCCGCGUGUGUGAAGAAGGUCUUCGGAUUGUAAAGCACUUUAAGUUGGGAGGAAGGGCAGUUACCUAAUACGUGA
rnacentral:rRNA from 3 species